GAGUUCCCGGAAGUCGCCAACGUCUGUGGCGAGCGGAGCGUUGAGUUCAGUGCCUGCGACUUAGGCGCACUAGCCCCGCCUUAGAGGAGUGAAGCUUCACGGUAGGAUCGCAGUAUGUGACUCCAGGUUUUGUGCAGUUGCUUCACUUCUUAGAGCCUCUGCCUGAGGGAAAUACUGCCUACCUCCCAGAAUUGUUUUGAGGAUUAAAUGGACCACACAGCGUCCUGGAGUUCCCAUCGUGGUGCAGCGGAAAACGAAUCCGACUAGGAACCAUGAGGUUGAGGGUAUGAUCCCUGGCCUCGCUUAGUAGGUUAAGGAUCUAGCAUUGCUGUGAGCUGUGGUGUAGGUUGCGGACGCAGCUCAGAUCCUGCGUUGCUGUGGCUCUGGCAUAGGCCGGCAGCAACAGCUCCGAUUAGACCCCUAGCCUGGGAACCUCCAUAUGCCGCGAGUGAGGACCUAUAAAGGCAAAAAGGACAAAAAAAAAAGAUUCAAUCCAGGCGUUCCUGUGGUGGCGCAGCAGAAACAAUCCGACCAGGAACCAUGAGGUUGAGGGUUUGAUCCCUGGACUCGCUCAGUGGGUUAAGGAUCCAACGUUGCCAUGAGUUGUGGUGUGGGUCGCAGACGCUGCUCGGAUCUGGCGUUGCUGUGGCUGUGGUGUAGGCCGGCAGCUACAGCUCCAGUUAGACCCCUAGACUGGGAACCUCCAUAUCCAGGGAGCUUUACAUUUUUUUUACCCAGUUGUCAUUAAUCCCUCCAUAGCUGCACUUCAGUAUUAUUACUAUAACUUACUUUUGGCCUUGCCUACAGCAUGCAGGCAGUCUACAGCCAGGGAUGGAAACUGCAUCACUGCAGUGACCUGAGCCACAGCAGUGACAACACAGAAUCCUUAACUGCUAGGCCACCGGGGAACUCCAAAUAUUAUUUUAUUAUAGAAAAAAUUAUUCUCCUGUUGCUCUGGUCCUAGCCCCCCAGACACCACUCCCCCUGCCAAUACCCCAUUUUUUGAUUAAUGUUACCAUAAUUGAACUAAUCUCUCAAAUCAGAAAGUGAGGAAUCAAUUGACUUAAAAUCAGGGACUAAAUUCAUAAAACUCCCAACAAAUCUGGGAAAGAUCUAUGUGGCAGAGUAGCCUGGUGCUAGACCAGUAUGACUUGAAAAAACCAGGCCAUACUUUUAAACAAAAUCUAUACUUUCUUAUAUAUAUUUUUGCAGCUAUAGUAUAAUGUAUUAAAAACAAAACCUGCUAAAUACAAUGUGGUAUCUAGGAUUGGAUCCUGGAGCAGAAAAAGGGCAUUAGUUAGAAAACUGGUGGAAUCUAAAUAAAAUCUGAAAUUUAGUUAACAUUAAGGGCCAGAUGUUAAUCUCUUGGUUUUGACAAUCCCAGUUUUACGGAAGAUGUUAAAAUUAGAGGAAAUUAACUGAUGGAUAUGCAACUCUGUACUAUCUUUCUCUAAACCUGAAAUUAUUCAAAAGUAGAAAUUUUAUUGAGAAGUUCCCACUGUGGCACAAUAGGAUUGGCGGUGUCUCUGCAGUGCCAGGAUUGUAGGUCACAACUGUGGCUCAGAUCUGAUCCCUGGCCCAGGAACUCCAUAUGUUGUGGUGCAG
rnacentral:lncRNA from 1 species